rnacentral:rRNA from 1 species
CCUACGGGAGGCAGCAGUAAGGAAUAUUGGUCAAUGGGCGCAAGCCUGAACCAGCCAUGCCGCGUGCAGGAAGACGGCCCUAUGGGUUGUAAACUGCUUUUGAACAAGAGAAAACCUCGGUACGUGUACCGAGCUGAUAGUAUUGUUAGAAUAAGCAUCGGCUAACUUCGUGCCAGCAGCCGCGGUAAGACGAAGGAUGCAAGCGUUAUCCGGAUUCAUUGGGUUUAAAGGGUGCGUAGGCGGCCUGAUAAGUCAGUGGUGAAAUCCCUCAGCUUAACUGAGAAACUGCCAUUGAUACUGUCGGGCUUGAGUACAGAUGAUGUGGGCGGAAUAUGACAUGUAGUGGUGAAAUACUUAGAUAUGUCAUAGAACACCGAUUGCGAAGGCAGCUCACAAAACUGUAACUGACGCUGAGGCACGAAAGUGCGGGGAUCAAACAGGAUUAGAUACCCUGGUAGUCCGCACCGUAAACGAUGAUUACUCGUUGUUGGCAAUAUGACCGUCAGCGACCAAGCGAAAGCGAUAAGUAAUCCACCUGGGGAGUACGCCGGCAACGGUGAAACUUAAGAAGUUAGUAGGACGUUGNGAGAGCGACGACGGACGACACGGAGGGAGGNG